rnacentral:lncRNA from 1 species
ACAUAAAUAAAAUAAAAAUUUAAAAUAAUUAUCUAAAUGAUAGAUGAUUGGAUCGUCAUAAUAUUUUCAAUAAAUAGGGGCAUUUUUUGUGUGAAACCCAGAUGCAUAGAGAUUAAUGCUAGAAUUAAUGUUUCUGUCAUAAGUGGCGGUAGAUGAUCGAACGGCUUAGCCUUGUCGAUAUACAGCAAGAACCCGUCCGCUCCUACACAGUUCAGUUUCUUCUUCUUCUUCUUCUUCUUCUUCAGACAUCCUGACUUUAUUAUUUCCCCUGGAUUUUACCUUUGUUGAGAACUUGAGAUGGAGGUUAACGUAAAACAAGAGAUUCUAGAAGCCCCCAACGGCCCACUCGGACCUAAUCGAGCCGCUGAUAGAUCUCCUAUACCCUCUUC